rnacentral:SRP_RNA from 1 species
GCUGGGUGUGUGGCGCAUGCCUGUAGUCCCAGCUACUCAGGAGGCUGAGGUGGGAGGAUCGCUUGAGCCCAGGAGUUCUGGGCUGUAGUGUGCUAUGCCAUCGGGUGUCCACACUAAGUUUGGCAUCAAUGUGGUGACCUCCCAGUAGCGGGGGACCACCAGGUUGCCUAAGGAGGGGUGAACCGGCCCAGGUUGGAAAUGGAGCAGAUCAAAACGCUCGUGCUGAUCAGUAGUGGGGUCAUGCCUGUGACUAGCCACUGCACUCCAGCCUGGGCAACAUAGCGAGACACUGUCUCU